GACGAACGCUGGCGGCGUGCUUAACACAUGCAAGUCGAACGGUGAAGCGCCUUCCUUUUUGGUGGGUGUGGAUGAGUGGCGAACGGGUGAGUAACACGUGAGUAACCUGCCCCCUUCUUCUGGAUAACCGCAUGAAAGUGUGGCUAAUACGGGAUAUUCUGGGUCUGUCGCAUGAUGGGUCUGGGAAAGAUAUUGUUUCGGUGGGGGAUGGGCUCGCGGCCUAUCAGCUUGUUGGUGGGGUGAUGGCCUACCAAGGCGGUGACGGGUAGCCGGCCUGAGAGGGUGGACGGUCACACUGGGACGGAGACACGGCCCAGACUCCUACGGGAGGCAGCAGGGGGGAAUAUUGCACAAUGGGCGCAAGCCUGAUGCAGCGACGCCGCGUGAGGGAUGGAGGCCUUCGGGUUGUGAACCUCUUUCGCCGGUGAAGCAGGCCUGCCUCGUUUGUGGGUGGGUUGACGGUAGAUGGAUAAGAAGCGCCGGCUAACUACGUG
rnacentral:rRNA from 1 species